GUGGCUAUGACAGAAUUAUAUGUGUUAGCUUUAAGCGUUAAUUAUAGGAAGAAUCCUUAGUCACU
rnacentral:tRNA from 3 species